rnacentral:lncRNA from 1 species
ACCACACCCAUGGCAUAUGGAGGUUCCCAGGCUAGGGGUCCAAUCAGAACUGUAGCCGCUGGCCUACACCCACAGCCACAGCCACACGGGAUCCGAGCCACAUCUGCGAUCUACACCAAAGCUCACUGCAAUGCCAGAUCCUCAACCCACUGAGCGAGGCCAGGAAUCGAACCUGUGUCCUCACUGAUGCUAGUCAAUUUCACUAACCCCUGAGCCAGGAGGGGAACUCCAGAAACAGCAUUUUCUCUGAGUAACCAAGACCAUUUCUCCGACCACAGGUUCCUUAUCGUAAAAUGGGGACUUGGCAGAGGCAGCUCUGGUGUCGUUGAGAAUAGUCACAACAAGGAGGUCUGGGUAGCCCUGAAGACCACUGAGCGAGUGCCUUUUCAGGACAGUGACGGUGAAGCUGCUUCCCGAAUGUCCACUCUCUGCUUACGGAGCAUCCCUCUCUCCUUUUCCUCUGCUCAUUCUGUAACAAAGAUGUCCCCAAAGCACAAUGAAUGAAGAGCUAUAAAGGAAGAAGUGUGACCUUUUAACAAUGAUCAGAUAUGAAGAUAUGAACACAAAAACUUUUGAGGAAUAAGUCCUUGACUUUUGGCUUAAUCAUUUAGCUCAUGCAUAAUUAUAACCAGAAAUUUUUUUUCUGCCAUUUCAACAUUAUACUUCGAUUCACGUUCCUUUACAAUAAUCUCUAAUGAUAUUGCAACUAUGUUUAUUUUUGGGACUCUGAUAAUAGAGAACACAGUCAAUCUAUUGCCAGUUGGACGAUUUAUUUAUUGUGCAUUCAGAGUGAAUGCGAAUUAUCUUAUGUUCCUUGAAAGGAAUUAGACAUGGCUUGAUAUAUUAGUGAAAUCAUUACCAUUUCAUUAAACUGUGUGUUUUGAACCAGACUGCUCUGUAGCUUAUUGAAAUGCAGAAAGUCAUUCUUUUAUGUGCAUAAUCACAGCUGAUGGACAAAUGUACAGCACUCAAAAGCUGCAGCAUUUUGCAUGAAAUAUUUGCCUGUACAUGCAUGAAAUUUUGCACAAAAUGACAAAGGCCUUUAAAUAAAGAAAAAAGUCAUGCAGAACA